GACCUCCGGCAGCACCCCUGCUCCCGGCCCCGGCAGCGGCGAUGGGACCCGGCGGCGGGCUCUCCUCGGUCCCCGCCCUGCCCCGGGGUGCCCCGGAGAUGCAGGUAGCCGGGUGCCCACUGUCGCACACGGCCAGCUCCCCGCUGGACUGGCCUGGCCUCUGUUGCCCCGAGGAGACCCCGCCGGGGAAUCUCAGGGCUGUUGUACACUAUGGUUUUAUGAGCCUUAUGGCUGGGGAGAAGUGUGAGGUGCCAGGCGGGGAAUGUACGACCUGCCGUGUGUGAGCUCGGGCAGCCCCGGAGGCUCGGAGGCUCGGCCGGUUGCCGUCGGGAGAGCUCUGGGCUCAGCGCCUCCUCUCUCCUUUGCCUGUAACUUUUCCUCAGAGUGGCAUUUGGGAGAUAAAGCAUCUACCGCUUGGCGCUUUGGCUGGACUGAUUUACUUUGGAGAGAAGGGUGAGGGGGAAGAGUGACUAGGGAGGAAAAUGUGUUGCCAGUCUCAGGGAACCAAAGGGGCAUUGUUCACCUCUAGGGAAACUGCCCAGUUUCUCCCAGGAGUCAGGCGAGUUCUCAGUCCAACAGCUCUCCCGGAGAACACACACAGACUCUUUGCUGUAGAGCCCGAGCUCUCCAUGGGAGUUUCCAUGGGAUCCUGCAGCCCCUCUGCCCGGCAGGACCCAGCCCUGAGGCAGAAGUGGGAAGAGCCCCACCCCAGAGGUGGUUGGGAGCGAGGGUAUCCGGCGCUGGGCAGCAGAGCACUCCCUGGACGCGAGGCUCCGCCAGCCUGUGAGCGGCUGCAGCCGUGGGACAGUGUGCCUGCUCCGGCCAGAGAUCUGAGCAAUGGCUUCUUACUCCCCUUUCACAGUACUGGCACCUCCCGUGUUCCCCGUGUAGCACUUUGAGCGUCCCUGAGGGCUACCCUUGCCGGGGGAGCAGGGAACAGGGAGAAGGCGAAUCCUCUGAUGAAUCCACUUCUGCUUUGCUACACAAAAGAUUUAAAGCCUUUUAUGUUGCCUCCUUUGUGAGGAAGACGAUAGAGAUACAGAAUUUGCAUGAAUAUUAAAUGCACUGCACCAAGCAGAGGCACACAGGGUCUGGGAAAGAGAUUAUGGAGGCAGCCCCAUCCCUCAGAGAUCUUGCCAGCUCCUAGUUUCCGAGGUUGCACUGCGCCUCGAGGACUGAUUCCACUGGGCUCUACCAGCAGAGAGGCAGCAGAGUCCGCAGUGUUCAGGGAGAUGUUCCAAUGGCACAUCGCCUCAAUUCUGGGCACUUGCCUCACCUGCUCAUAUCUGAGAGACCUGUUGUUAGGAGUUUUGUGCUUUCCCUAAUUCUGUACACAUCCAGUGUGGAUGAAGCUAUGCUGAUAGGAAGUGCUUUAUGCGAGGACCAUUUAUUCCUUUACAAAAAUGAAAAUAGUAUGUAUUGGCACCAGCCCUUUCACCAGGUGCAACAUGGGCUGUGAUCAGAAGUCAGGGAACCCCUAACCAAUGUAGGUGGUAUCUUUUUAUAGCUAAACACAACUGCCUUCUCAAGCAGACCCUGUGAAAAAGAAGCUUUUGUGUAAGAGUGCCAUCUGGUGCCACCUGACAGGACAGUGUGUUUAAAGUGUGUGGUGGCUGUGGGCAGGCUGGCUCUGUCCUGCCUCAUUUAAAUGGCUUUUCUGUUUGGAGAGCUGCUUCUGGAAGCAGCUUGCCGUUGUCUUCUCAUUUAACUAUGUUGCAGUCAUGCAGUGACUCAGGCACCGUUGUGCUCAGCUGACAGCAGAAAGGCGCUUUUUUAAAGGGUUUUUUUCCCCCUAUGGAUUUUUUUCCAACUGCCAGCGACACAAACUUCAGCUGGAGUGAGAGAGUCAAGCUCGUCCUGCAGAUGAUACAUAUAAGAGAUUCUGCAGCCACUUCUCGCCUACCAAAUCUGUUGGUGAUACAAGAGCCAGAACAUAAUACAUCAGCCUCUUUGUUCUCACUCUGCAUGACAAUGGGUAGGAUGGAAAAAAUACACUUGGAUUUUCUUACUAAAUCCAGCAAAUCUCCUGGGAUCUUGCAAUGUGUGGAGAAGUUCUUUUGACAUAGAGCUGUGCAAAACAUCACCGUGCACAAUAGGCACAAAGUUGCCAGUGCCUUUGCUUCAAAGAUGGGCAAACUUUUCCAGAUAUUGUUCAGCAGGCAUUUUUCUUAAAACAGGCCAGAAAUUUCAGCCAUAAAAUGUCAGUAUGAAAUUUUCAUGAGUAUGAUUUCCUCUUUUCAGAAAGGAAGCAGAAAGAAAAGAUGGAUGAACCUUACUGCAGUGUCUGUGCUCAUUUGGGGCAAGAAUUGCAUGUGUCUAAACUACUCUAUUUUCCACAGCCUUGGCAGUCCUAAUGAGUCAUCUUGGUCUUUAAAAAAUGGUUCUCUGUAUUGUUCAUCUGAAGCUGUGACAAAUAAUUAAUUAAGGCAUGUCUGUAGAUGCAUCUUCAGAAAGAUCUGUGUGCUUGCAACAGAAAAAAAAACUGAAUGUGUAGGAGCUGCCUUUCAGAGAUAUCUGCCCAGGUUGUAGGAAUAGGUUGACAGAAACCUCAUGAAAUUCAGCAAGAACAAACUCUAAACUCCUGCCCCUGGAGCGGAUGGAUGGAUGGAUGGAUGGAUGGAUGGACGGACGGAUGGACUGACAGACUGACCCACCAGGGCUCCUGGAGCACUGGUGUGGCCCCAGUAGCAAAGGCAGCUAGGAGCAGGAGUGACCUGGUAGAUAGACACAGGGAAGUGAUUAUCCCCUUCUUCUUGAAAAUCAUAAAACUGUGUCUCAAAUACAGUGUCUGGUUUUGGGCUGCCUGAUAGCAGAAAGACAUGGAUAAAUCUGAGUGCAUCGGGGGUUGUCACCAAGGUAACUGGGAGAUGGAGAAUUUCUCCUGUGAGGAGUAGCUCAGGAAGUUGGACUUUCUUAGCUGGAGAAGAGAGAGCUCCAGGAGGACCUAGCAGAAGCCUACCUGCACAGCUGAGAAAGUUACUGAGAAGAUGGAGCCAGGCUCUUUCAUAAGUGCAUGGCAGGAGGAUGAGUGGUCAUAAACUGGAACAGGAAAGGUUUACGCUCUGUUUAAGGAACCGAUUUAUCACUGUGAGGAUUUUGGGGUUUUUUUUGAAAAUUGUAUGGAGAGUGGUGUCUGCUUAAUUGGAUGGGAAAUCUCCAAAGGACACAAAAUGCCUCUCUUCACUUAGCUUUUGCUAACCAGACUUACACAGGAUGGCUGCUAACAGCACUGACAGUCUCCUUUUGCUCUAGAGGCCACAUACUGCUCUUGAACUUAGGCAACUUUGCUCUUCUUUUUCUCCCAGAAGGACCUAUCAUAUAUAAAGCUAAUCCUUCAUGCAGUGCCUGUUUAUCAGUUACACCCAUUUGUGCCCUGCCCAGUCCAGCAUAUCUGAUCAUUUCUGCAAGCAACCAUCUAUUUGCUUAAGGUCUAUUACAACUGCACUCAGAGAACUCUUACUUUCUCAUUCAGCUCUUAUCAGUGCUGUGAAACUCUUCAAUAGACUUAUCACUUGAGUCAUAUUCACCACUGUGCUUCACUGGCUUUGUGACACUCGUGUCAGAAGGAAACCAGAAUAAACCAACUAAACAGGAGUCAUGUGCUUCUUUUUAGCCCAGUACCGUAGUGGUUUUGUUUCUUACCUCUGCUACUGUGUUUUAUAGUGCAAAAAAAACACCUUCAAAGAUGACUUUGGAUAUUUAUGUAAACACAGCUUUGACUCCAUGCUUUUCAAAGCAUAUGCUUUACCCCCUUCAAGAGACAUCAAGGCAAGAAAAUAGCCUGCAUGCUCACUCAGGUGUCCACAGUUAGAAGCUGCAGAAUGGCUGUUCAGGCUGUCUCAGGAGGGCUAACCCAGCUCCUCUGGGGAAAGCACACUAAUGCACUCUUUCACUGUGUGAUCCUUUAUGCCCAGGCAAUGUGACAAAUGGCAUUUUCUGGAGCCUACAAAGGGACAGCAGAAUGGGAGAAGAACUGCCUGUCUCUGUGGGGUUGCUCCUUGAGUGCAAACUGGGUGUUGGGCUUACUGUGUGCUCUUUCCUUUAAUAUUGUCCUGGCCCACAGGAAGAGGAGAGUGGCAGGACUGUACAUAGUAAGUAGGCUGAGAGUGAUGCUGGUGCAACUCAUAGAGGAAGCUUCCCCUGAAGAUGAAGAGAGGCUAUUCACCAUGGAUGACUGUCACUCUCACAGGAAGCCUAUACACACUUUUAUUCCUCUUAUGCCUAUUACAGGGACAUAAAUAGCACUUAAGUGGUGCUUAGGUGUUGGACUGACCUUUGGUCUGAGCGAGUUUCACGCUCUGUAAACUCCCUCUCACUGUCUCAAUGCACAGGGAGGAUGGAGAGCACAGGCAGAUUUGGUCACCCACUUCAUAUCCCUUACCGUUGCUAGACAGGGCAGCUCUGCUGUAACAGGAGGCUGGGUCUCCAGGACUGAUAGAGACUAAUCUCUUGUGGGGACACAUGCAGCAAGCAUUUUGGCCCUCUAGUCCUGUGCCUGGUAAAAUUUGGUCAGUAACACAUUUAUGAUUAGUCUGCCAAGUACUGGAUAUGGAAAGGCUAUUUGCUUGAAAUUUUUCUUGGAGCUCACCAACCAGAUUCCUGUAGGAUCUCCAGGACAGAUACAGAGACCUGAUGGGGCCAUCAGAUCUGGCCUGAUGGAAAUGAAUCCAAAGAUAAUAGUUCCUAUAUCCUUCUAUUUAAUUAGUCUCUUUGGAUCCAUCUCAUGGUUUCUACACUUCGUGGCCCUGCUGCUCCUUACUAUCUCAUGAUGGGACUUACACUUGCAGAAGGGCUAGAAGCAGGAUGAAGCCAGAGCUGAACAUGGGUCCAUAGAUCUCUGAGUCUGGGUCUCUGAGCAUCAUCACUAUAGAGUCGCCACCAGGAAAAAUGUUUCCCUUUUGAUAAAGAAGAGGGGAAGAGACUUGAACUUCUUGAAUUUGGAAGACUCUAGGUAAAUACUCUAGGUAAACUCUAGGUAAAUACUUAAUCCAAAGACUGUGGAUCAUUUGUAUGUCCUAUCUGCCAGGAAACUGAUAAACAUUUGGGAAACUCUUCCUAAAAAAACACAUUCAUUUGUUGGACAACUGCCUGCAUGUGCUGGGAACCCAUUGUCCUAAAUUAUCAUCUCAGCCAAAGUGGGAGAACCCAUUAACUGUGCUCUUGGGCCAGAACUAGGAGAGAGGCUGCAACUUAGAGCAGGAGUGCAGGAAGGCAUAUGUCCAAAACAGGGUUAAACAGUGGAGACACAGCCAUCAUCUUGGUGGGGAGAAGCAGGAAGGUCUUUGUUGAAGUGCUUGCAGAGUAAACAAAGGGAGGGUUUGGCAGGAGGUGGAAGUACAUCUGUGCACACAGUCCACUCCCACUGAGGGAUCAGCACCAGCUGGGAGAUUCUGGAGUUGUGUACUGCUCAGUCCAUGUCUGCCAGGUGAUCCUCAUCCCCUGUGCAUAAGGCAGCUGUUCUAUGCUACGACCACCCCUUUCAGAGAGGGACAAACCUGAGGUCUCAUUUGUAUAGAUCAGACUGUAGAAAACCUCUAAGACUGGCCCACUGUACCUUCUCUUGGUAUCAGUACAAGUGGACAAGCUUGUACUGUAUGGUGGCUUCAGAAGCCACCAUAGUGUGUGGUAGCCUCUGAAUUUAAUGAAAUGUGUUGUGUUCAUUGAUGAAAAAUGUCUUCUGCUGCUCAGGAGCUCAUCUGGAACUGCACUGGUCCUAUCCUGCACUGCUCUGGUCUCAUCCAUGACUGGUGCUGUGUUGGUCCCAUUGGUGCUGCACUGUUCUUGCUGAAGCCUGAAAUGGAGCUGUCUCUGGUAGAGCAGGGAUUAGGAAGAAGAGCAUUUUCUGAAGCAACCCCUUGAAGGGGAAUUUAGAGCUAGGGAUUUCAUAGCCCCAGUUGCAGCUGCACUAUUUAAAAUAUGGCCAGGCUGACACCUCUGUGACUUACUGCUGUGUUUCCUUGGAGAAAAGUUAUUCCUCUGCUUGCUCCCUUUUUUCCUCAGCAUCUCUCCAUAGGUUUUAAGGUACUAUUUAAUUAGCAUUUAAUAAUUACUUAUUUACUAUUAAAAUAAUUUUCAGUGUUAAAGGAAGCAAAUGAAAAUGCUUAACUCCCUGGAGUUGUCUUUGGGAUGGCCACAUGGCAGAUCCUCUGCACAUAACCACAGGCAGGACUGUGUUCUUGAUACAGCCGUUUGAUUCUCAAGACUCACUUGUUCCAGUGCAUUUCAAGGAAGGGAUGAGUCAAACCACUAAAGCUUAUGCAUCCUUGUCCUGUUAUGGACAGUCCACUGUAAGAAACCAGAUGGCUCACAAAAGCCAGUUGGUGACUCUCCUUGCUGCAGAGUUACAGGAAAACAGAUAGGGCACCAGCAAAGAAGCAAACCAUUAUAGCUUUCCUAAGAAAUGCCCAAAACCUGCCUCUUGGCCUAAUUUGGCUGAGAGAUUUCCCUGGGAAAUUCCAGGUCUGUGCAGCAAGGUACAAUGCAGUCACCCAUGCUUCACAAGCAACCUUGUGGCGAGCAUUGUUCUUCUUCAGGAAACAUGUUUGCUGGAGGAGCCAAAUGUGUUAGGUCCUCAAUUCCAAGCCAGUCUUAGUCCUCGGGUUACUGCAUCCUACCAAUCUCAGCUUUCUGCCAGGGACUGUAUUUUCACAUCUGAACUGCUGAGACUUCAUGUCUCCACAUGGGAGAUGAGAAGUAAGAACAAAGGUGGAACCAAAGCCAUCUUUCUUGGCUGACUCUCUAUGCUGGCACCAUCUUUUUCCUGCUGCAGCAGGUGACUUCUGUGCUGGUGACCUCAGUGUAGUUUGGUAUCCCCGGCCUGAAAUCAUUGAUCCAGUUUUCAGUCGGGCACUAGGACAGAGUGGGUGCUUACAUGGAGCUCAUCUCUUACUUUUUGCUGUAUCUGGAGCUCAGCUUGUGUUGUAAGUUGUUAGGUGUUUCCUUGGGUUGGUGUCUGCAUGUUUUGCAAUGUUCCUCAGAGCAGAAAUAGCUGAAAGGUUGUGAAGAGCCAAGGGCAUGGCCAAAGUGGCAAGGGACUGCAAGUAGCAUGCUGAAAGGUAGGCUGUGUCUUUCAACCCAGUUGUUCCCCAUGUCUGCCAUGCAGUGUUUACAUCUAUCCAACUUAUUUCCAGCUGCUCAAGCAAACAAAUUUUACUUCUGCUUUCCCAUAUGGUUACAUCAUUCAGUUUUUCUUUCCUGUAGUUUCCUGAACUGACCCAAACACUGCAGCCUUAUCCUCUCAACCUCCCCUUUCUGACUUCUUUAUCCACCUUCUUUUCUCUUUCUUAGUAUCUCUCCUUUCACUUUUAUUUUCUUAAACCUGUCUUGGGCUUUCUGCCUUUGAAAUCACAUGGUGCUGCUCUGAUCUGGUCUGUAUCCAAGUGAUAGAUGCCUUACACUUACCUUGACACAUUGUUCAGCCAGAACAAGGUAUCAUGAAAGUUAGAAGUGCACAUAUCCACAUACUCUUUCACUUCUUUCUUUCUUGUCCUAUUUUAUCUUCUCACAUUCUAAGACUGGAGAAAUUCCCUACAGAGCACUGUGCAAGGCUAUUCUCCCUGAAACUACUAUGUAAUCUAACCAGUACUGAAGUAAUUAGUACCAUCUUUAGAGCUCAAAGAUGAUGCCUUAUGUGAGGUCAUUUAUUACAAUCACUGUCCAGGCUGUUCCAGAGGAGACUCACCCCUGACUACCUCAGCAAAGUUGCUUUUGGCUUCUUUACACUGUGACUUUGUCUUGAUUAGGAAAAAUGUUCAUUUAGGUCAGUCUGGCUGACCUGAUUAGCAAAGCCUGCUCAAAAUGCAGUUAGCAUUUUUCCUAGAAUAGAUGAAAAACAUAAUGCUUUCAACUGAGCAAUUUGUGCCAGGAGUUCCCCUGCAACAGGAACGUCAGGGCUCCCUUGGGAGAAACCUGGCAGCUAAGGCUGGAGGAGUUCUACAACUUGUGCCUCACACCAGCUGUGUUAAACAGGAGGGAACUGGAUGCUACAUUGGUUGUGGACAUUCUUAUUGGAUUGUCAGCAUUCCUCCUGCAGGUGAGCUUUGUUAGAUCAAAGCCCAAACAACAUCCUCCAUGCUGGCUCCCCACCAUGGUGUCAUGGGGUCACUGGCAUCUCCUUUCAAUGGCAUGGCGCAUCUAGGGGGAGCAUUGCAGCUCAAGAAUAAUCCACCUCUGCUGUUCGAGGUGCAGGGGCUCUACCAUGAGAACUUGCUCUGGCUCUGCAAUAUUUGCGGCCCUCUCACUACUUGGAGGAGAGCUUUCCCCUCCAGAAGGGGAAAAAGGUAGAGGGAUACCAGGAUGAAGAAGAGGACUCAGUUCCAGAGCCUCAAGAGUUAACUGUUGCAUGUCAGAGCAGCUUGGUGUUAAAUGAGUCUGCUAAAUUCAUGACAGUUGAAGGAAGGAGCUGGGCAGGUGCUUUUGGCUAAGUUUACUGCUGUCCCGGGGAGAGGGACUGCAAGCCAGGCAGCUCAGGGAGGAGGAAACCAGCUCUGACAUUUGUAAAGACUGUUGAUGGAAGGUUUCUUUCAAAGACUUUUCAGUCUCUCAAUCUGAGAGCUCUUUGCCCAGGGAGUGCUGGAAAUGUGGCUCUUCUUUCCAAGCAAAUGUGGCAGACUCUCACAGUUGAUGAGGUGCUGUUGAGCCACAAAUACUGAAUUGCCAAUUGAAUGAUGUUGGGUUUGUUUUUAUUGUGUUUCUCUGUCUUUAUGGACAGCGCUGCAGUGAGGUUGUUGGGAAUGGGAGAACUGUAUUUUAGUCCUGGCUCUGCCAGUUUCUUAGUGUGUGAUCCUCAGGGUGUCUCUUGCAGUGAGGCAGCUUUUGCUCACUAUAAAAAAAGUGAACAUCCUUAUUCUUACUGAAAAGGAGCAGUGUCACCAAUGGGUGAAGCAGAUUAUCAAAAAUUAAGACUGGAGUGCGGUUUUGCUGGUAAGUAUCUGCCAGGAAAGGUCCAUAGGAGCUAUUACUUUGCUUCCCUGGUUGGACUCUUUUUCAAUGACUUUGCAGCUACACAUGAUAUUUGCCACAUUUUCAGUUUGGCUGAUCUGUUCUCCACUGAUAUCCCAGCUAUCCUUCACCCCUCUCCUGUUCCUUAUCCCUGUGGACUGCACGUGUCUCUAUCUGACCUCAGAUACUUCAAGCUAAUCCAGAGUAAUCUUUCUGUGUCAGUGUGAAUGACUGCGUUGGUCAGCAUCGGGAUUUAAACUGAAGUACUUUUGGCCCAUGCUGUUACUGACCUGACCAUUCUGGGCCUUACUGAAAACCAAUUUGUGCUUUAUAAAUCCAGUGAAUGGGCUGUACUCAUACCUCAUCCUCCACUGUGCAACCAGAUCCUGGCUCAGGCACAAAACAUAACUUCUCCAUCAGUUUGGUGCAACUUGCUGAGAGCACCCUGUUUUAUUUUUGCCCCAAACUGCUGCAUGGUCGGUGCUGGGCUGAGUUCUCAGGCUCCCAAACUAUUUCUCUGCUGGUUUGUAAAUGAGAAGGAGGUAACAAGCUCCUUCUUAUAAAAUACCAGAAUAUCAUGGCUUUAUCUGUCCCUAGCAUGAUAUUCAAGACCCAUGCCAGUCCCUCCUGCUGCUCAGCACAUGUUUUUGCACUUUCCCUUUCUUUGGAAGUGCUUUUUCUCCACAGUAACUCUGUCUGGCCUGUUGUAAAGCUAGGAUCACCAUCAUCCAUUUGGGAAGAGUGAUGCAGAGGUUGCUUUUCCAUCCUCUGAUCUUUCUCCCGCUCUUCAGGUUUUGUCAAAUAUAGUUGGCAGCGGUCCAGCAGCUGGAUUAGCAGUAAUUAAUGAGCAAAUGGACUGCAGCCCUUUUUCAGACCUGGCAAAGCACAUACCUUUCACUUUUUUCUUACAUGGUUUUCAGCUCUUUUUUAUCAUGCUGGGAGAGAGCGGAGUAGCAGCAGAUGCUGCUCUGGUCAAUACAGGGGAGUGAACAGAGGCUGCUGUGCUCAUUUCUUUGCUGCUAAUUAGUACUAGGGUGGUAGGCAGAGGCUGCUAGCUAGGACAGCAAAACUGUUUUCUCCCUCCCCUUGUAGCUGCAGCCACAGCAAGCAGUCAGUGGCAGCUGUAAGCAGCUGGGGUGAGCUGCAGCAGAGCAGGAGUAAUGCUGAUUUCUUAAUUUUCCUGCAUGCUUCAGGCUCCAGGCAAACAGCCCUUACAACCUCCUCCUUUGUGACCUGGAGCUGAAGUCCCAGGUGAGGUGAAGGCACACAUUGCUGUGUCAAGCCCAGCAGCCACACAGUGUGGUGAGGUCACGCAGCACCUUUGAUACCUACAAGUGCCAGAGACCCAUGUCCAGAGCAGUUGCCCAUCCCCUGGUCUCAGAUGCCUCUCUGAUAUUUGAUGAAAUUGAAUUACACAGAGUUGUCAGAGGAUUUAUUUACUUACUCUGGGAAAGAGUGAAGGACACCAGAAGGGAUGGAAAAUAGGGAAAGAAAGAGGGACAAAAAAGCAAAGAUGAGAGAGCUAUGCAGUUAGCAUUCCUGAGCCAUCUGGACCUGUUGGCAUGGCCCCAUCUGGAUAGGCUCACGUGUUCAUCCACAGCAUGAUGUAAUCUUCAUUGUCCAGCAUUUGAUUUUUCUCCUUGUGCUGGAUGGCCUCAUAUCUAGUGCAUGUCUGGAGCGGGCAUUUUGAUUUCCUGUUGCUAUUUGUGGACUUUUCCUGGCCGAUCCUCAAGCUCAGGCGGUUUGCAUUCCUCAAGCAGAAGCAGCAAUGCCACCCUGCCAGCAGGAGCGGAGGCCAGCUGCAGCCAGCCUGCCAGCCCGGGAGAGGCAGCCCUGCGCGUGGAACCAGCUGUGGUUUGCACCGUGCUGCAGCUGGAGAGAGAGUGACACCCCUGCCUGGUGCUUGGACCAUGGUGGCUGAGCUCUGGAGUCGGCUCAGCCUUCAACACCAGCACAGAGAGGGACCACUGUUCCCAGAUGCUCCUGGGCUUCCCUGCCCUGCUGGAUCUUGCAGCAGAAGGAGAGUUUUCCUUGACUCAAGACCUAUUCCUCCCUUCAGCAGAUCUGUGAUUUUCAUCCCAUGGUUGAAGUGACUGCCUGGUCUCUGACCAGUCGGAUAUCUAUCCUUAUCUUUGGAAAUGCAGGGCUUUUAUCCCUGGUUCACCAGCAUCACAUCUUCAUUCUACGCCAGGAUGGAGCUAAUUCAGGUUACCCCAGCAGUGACAAAUGCUUUUAGAGGCCUUACUGCUCUUUGUGCCCUGGAAAGGAUUUCCCUGUUCUUCAGAGACUCUGGUUUUUGCAGCUCCACUGCUGAGGUGAAAAUGGUACCCUCAGCAUUGGAGCUGAAGAUUAAUUUCCUAUCUGCUGCUUAGGGCACAGAUUUUCCACUGAGAUAUUGUCAGAAGGUCAGAAAUCUGCAUUCCAAGUUGAAUUGCUUCGAAAGCUGUCCUGGUGCAGAGCCCUGUUCAGUCUGCUUGCAAAACCCAACUUUUGCCCAGCCUGGCCACUGAAGAGAGUCCAAGCUCUUGCUCUCUCAAGAUUUUACGUGAAAAUCCUUCACAUCCUUGAGUCACAAAUCAGCUGGCGCAGAUUAGUUCUUUGUUAAGUGCCCUUUGAAAAGGCCCAAGGAAUGAAAGCCACCAGUAAUGUUUGGUAUUAGCUGCAUGCCUCAGCUUUUGGACAUGAACAGAGUACAGCUCUUCCUCUUUCAAGGCCUGUUUUUCUUUAUGGGUCUCCAGGGAUCUGCCAGGGGACAAACUGUGAAUUAUCUCUGAUUUUGCUCUGUGAGCUAAACAGUUUCAAUGAGACAAAUGAAGAUGAUUGUACUGACAAUUCAGAACUUUCCUCCUCUGGUUAUCUCCCAGAGCAGAUUUCCUCUAACUACCAGUGUGUCUUUCUUGUUGCUUUCUUGCAAGAUGCAGAAAAAAGGCCCAUAAUGGCAUGGGGCUCACAAGCUGUGUAAGAGCAAAGAUCUGCCAACUCUGGCAGCUUCAACUCCAUACUGGCCAGGGCCAGAAGCUUCCAAAAAAGAUAGAAGAAAUGGUGGAGUGGCAUUAUUCCAAUUUAUUUUGGUUAUUGAAUAAACAUUCCCAUCCCACUGACUGGUGAAUGGCUUGAGCAGCAGCACCUCUCUAAUUUAUUUCAAUUGUAUUGAACUUUCGUGUCUAUUGCAUUUCAUGUCUUUUGGUGAUAAUGUGAAAUGGUUUCACAUCAGCAUGGCAGUAUAGUUCACAAAGUCACACAGAAUAAACCAGUAUUUUAUUUCA